UUUAGUUCAUUUCAGUUCAGAAUCGAACGCGAGCCGAGUCGCAACAUCGCCGCCGAGCAGCGCAUGCUGUUUUUUUUUCAGUGUGUACGUUUUGAUUGCAAAAAAAGGAAAACGAAAAGAAAUAAGCAAAAGCAAUAGCAAGGCAAGCAGUAGCAGCAGCAGCAGCAACGCUGAAAACAUUUUUCAUCUGCGGCCUGGAAAAGUGCCCCGAAGAAAAUAAUAGAUAAAUUGUGUUAAUCGCCCCAUCGAGCCAGCAAAAAAUAUUCACUGUAUAUUUAUACAUUCUGUUGUUGUUGUGCGUGUGUUCCACCUCUAUUCCUCUUGCUUUUGGACAUCAUACACUUUUUGUUGUUAAUUUUCCAGCUGGCCGCCUGCAAAUGAUAAAAAUGUCGUAGACGACGUGUCUCCCCCCAUAUCCAUAUAUCCCCCAUCCAAACACAACAAAAAUAAGAAAACGAUAACGUCGGACGACAACAACAACGUCGCCUCCACAUCAUCCAGCCAUGACCAGCGGCAAUCGAUGAUUGCCAUUCCCUCAGCCAACGAGACCCAAUAGAGGCAGCGCCGGAAAGGAGGACGGAUCCGUCGGAAGUGCCCGCCAUUCGAGCGUCAUCAAUAGCCGGUGGAGGAAAACCCACCUCACUUUCCACCUACCCCUUCCAUCACUCUUUUUAAAGCCAAGGACUCAGGCGGUCAUCAUGCUGAUCAAGGAGUACCGCAUUCCGCUGCCCCUCACCGUCGAGGAAUACCGCAUCGCCCAGCUUUACAUGAUAGCGAAAAAAAGUCGCGAAGAAAGUCAUGGCGAAGGCAGUGGCGUUGAGAUAAUCAUCAAUGAGCCAUAUAAGGAUGGACCCGGUGGAAAUGGUCAAUACACGAAAAAGAUCUACCAUGUGGGCAAUCAUUUGCCUGGCUGGAUUAAGAGUCUCUUGCCAAAAAGCGCUUUAACUGUGGAGGAGGAGGCGUGGAAUGCCUAUCCUUAUACCAGGACACGCUACACCUGCCCAUUUGUGGAGAAGUUUUCGCUGGACAUCGAGACGUACUAUUAUCCGGAUAAUGGCUAUCAGGAUAAUGUCUUCCAGUUGUCAGGAAGUGACCUAAGAAACCGCAUAGUUGAUGUGAUUGACAUUGUGAAGGACCAACUGUGGGGCGGUGAUUAUGUCAAGGAGGAGGAUCCCAAGCACUUUGUGUCGGACAAGACGGGGCGUGGACCCUUGGGCGAGGAUUGGCUGGAGGAGUAUUGGCGCGAGGUGAAGGGCAAAAAGCAGCCGACACCGCGUAACAUGUCCUUGAUGACGGCCUACAAGAUUUGUCGCGUUGAAUUCCGCUAUUGGGGCAUGCAAACGAAGCUGGAGAAGUUUAUCCAUGAUGUGGCGUUGCGCAAGAUGAUGUUGCGUGCCCAUCGGCAAGCAUGGGCGUGGCAAGACGAAUGGUAUGGCUUAACCAUCGAGGAUAUCCGUGAACUGGAGCGACAAACGCAGUUGGCUUUGGCCAAGAAAAUGGGCGGCGGCGAGGAGUGCAGCGAUGAUAGCAUCUCAGAGCCAUAUGUUAGCACGGCGGCGGCCGCCGCCUCCACAACGGGCAGCGAACGAAAGAAGUCCGCUCCAGCAGUACCGCCUAUUGUAACCCAACAGCCACCCAGCGCCGAGGCCAGUUCCGAUGAGGAGGGCGAGGAAGAGGACGAUGACGAGGACGAGAACGAUGCCAUUGGCACUGGCGUGGAUCUCUCAGCCAAUCAAGGUGGAUCUGCUCAACGUUCGCGUUCGCAAAGCAUUCAAAUGGCUCAGAAGGCAAAGUUCGGGUCAAAGGGUGCUCUACAUUCUCCGGUGGGAUCUGCCCAUAGUUUCGAUCUGCAGUCCAAAAAGCCGCAUGCAAAGACAGCGCCACGCAGACAUGUGGCAAACUGGCGAAUGGAGCGAUUGGAAGUGGACUCCAAGUCUAAUUCAGAUGAGGAAUUCUUCGAUUGUCUGGAUACCAAUGAAACAAACUCCCUAGCCAAGUGGAGCUCUUUGGAGCUGCUGGGCGAGGGCGAUGACAGUCCACCGCCACAUGGCGGACCCUCUGGUGCAGCAUCCGUAGGUGGACGUGGCAAUUCGCGGCAGGAGGACAGCAUCUUUAACCAGGAUUUUUUGAUGCGGGUUGCCUCGGAGCGUGGUAAUAAACGGCAGUUACGUUCAUCGGCCAGCGUGGAUCGUAGUCAUGAUUCAUCGCCACCAGGAUCACCGAGUACACCGUCAUGCCCAACUACCAUCCUAAUCCUGGUGGUCCAUGCAGGCAGUGUUCUGGAUGCAGCCAGCGAGUUAACGGCCAAGAAGUCCGAUGUGACCACUUUCCGCGGUUCCUUUGAGGCAGUGAUGCGACAGCAUUAUCCCAGUCUUCUAACUCAUGUGACCAUUAAGAUGGUGCCAUGUCCAUCGAUUUGCACUGACGCCUUGGGCAUUCUUUCCAGCCUGAGUCCGUACUCUUUUGAUGCAUCGCCCUCGGCGGCGGAUAUACCGAAUAUAGCCGAUGUCCCAAUAGGAGCUAUACCCCUUUUAUCCGUAGCAUCGCCGGAAUUCCAUGAGACGGUCAACAAGACGGUGGCCGCUGCCAAUAUUGUCUACCAUGAGUUCUUGAAAUCGGAGGAGGGACACGGUUUCUCCGGACAGAUUGUUAUGCUGGGUGAUUCGAUGGGCUCACUGUUGGCCUACGAGGCAUUGUGCCGUUCCAAUGGCAGUCAACCGGGCACGGCCCCAAAUUCUGGCGGAGAUACAGCCACAAAUAUAAAUACCCAUAAUCCGUUAGGACCACGUCAUUCACGGUUGGAUGAUGAUGAGCGUUUCAUUGAGGCCGAUUUGGAUGCCAAGCGCUUGUUGGUGGCUCCAUCACCGAGGAGACGGCGUUCCAGUUCGUCGAGCGAUUCACGGGCCACCAAAUUGGACUUUGAGGUCUGUGAUUUCUUUAUGUUCGGAUCACCGCUUUCGGUGGUAUUGGCGGCACGAAAACUCCACGAUGCCAAGGCCGCUCUAGCGAGGCCCAACUGCCAUCAGGUGUACAAUCUGUUCCAUCCAACCGAUCCGAUUGCCUCGCGUCUAGAGCCGCUUUUAAGCGCUCGCUUCUCCAUUCUGUCGCCGGUUAAUGUCCCACGGUACGCCAAGUAUCCGCUGGGAAAUGGUCAGCCAUUGCAUUUAUUGGAAGUGAUUCAGUCGCAUCCGCAGCACUUUAACGAUGGCAAUAACCUUUUGGCCGGUCGCCGUUUGUCAGAUGCCUCGAUGCAGAGCACGAUAUCGGGUCUGAUUGAGAAUGUCUCACUUAGUACGAUCCAUGCCCUUCAAAACAAAUGGUGGGGCACCAAACGCUUGGACUACGCUUUAUAUUGCCCAGAGGGAUUAAGCAACUUUCCGGCUCAUGCCUUGCCACACCUAUUCCAUGCCAGCUAUUGGGAAAGUCCGGAUGUGAUUGCCUUUAUCCUAAGGCAAAUUGGCAAAUUCGAGGGCAUACCGUUUGUGGGAUCUAACGAUGACAAGGACAAUGCCUCCUUCCAUCCAGGACAGCCGAGGGAGAAGUGGAUCAAGAAACGCACCUCGGUGAAGCUGAAAAAUGUGGCCGCCAAUCAUCGGGCCAACGAUGUGAUCGUUCAGGAGGGCCGAGAGCAGCGAUUGAAUGCCAGAUUUAUGUAUGGACCUUUGGAUAUGAUCACGCUGCACGGUGAGAAGGUAGAUGUGCAUAUUAUGAAGGAUCCGCCGGCAGGCGAAUGGACAUUCCUCAGCACUGAGGUGACGGACAAGAACGGUCGCAUCUCGUACAUCAUUCCCGAUCAGGUCUCCCUGGGCUAUGGCAUAUACCCGGUCAAGAUGGUGGUCCGUGGUGAUCACACUUCGGUGGAUUGCUAUAUGGCCGUGGUACCACCAUUAACCGAAUGUGUGGUCUUUAGUAUUGAUGGAUCCUUUACCGCUUCCAUGUCAGUGACGGGCAGAGAUCCUAAAGUUCGUGCCGGAGCCGUAGAUGUAUGUCGGCAUUGGCAAGAGUUGGGCUAUCUGCUUAUUUAUAUCACCGGACGACCAGAUAUGCAACAACAGCGCGUGGUGUCAUGGCUGAGUCAGCACAAUUUCCCACAUGGUCUGAUCUCGUUCGCCGACGGCCUGUCCACCGAUCCGCUGGGACACAAGACGGCCUAUCUCAACAAUUUAGUGCAGAAUCAUGGAAUCUCAAUAACCGCUGCCUAUGGCAGCAGCAAGGACAUUAGCGUCUACACGAAUGUGGGCAUGCGAACCGAUCAGAUCUUCAUCGUUGGCAAGGUUGGCAAGAAACUACAAUCCAAUGCCACCGUUCUAAGUGAUGGCUAUGCUGCCCAUUUGGCUGGAUUACAGGCUGUGGGCGGUUCACGUCCCGCGAAGGGAAAUGCCCGCAUGGUCAUCCCUCGCGGAUGCUUUAAUCUGCCCGGCCAGACGGCAAAUCCGCGACGCAGAAGGCUGCAUGAACAAGCAACGAAUGAAAAUUAAAAAUUGCAACUUAAACGAGCAACAAUAAAUUGCUUAGAGCAAUAAAAAAAAAACAAUUUAAAGCAUCAUGUAAACAGAUAGAAGCGACAAAACAAAAACCUAAAAUCCAAAAACAAUAUACAGACAAUUGAUGUUAGUAAUAGUGUUAUAGAAUAUUAUGCCCUUAUACUCCCCACACACCACAAAGUUUUUUGAGUUAUUCUGUUAAUUAUUUUGAAGCAUACCUAGCUGAGCAUUUUAGUGAUUGAUUUAUUCAUUGAUUGGUGUUGUAAAAAAAAAGAAAAGAAAAACUAAACAUAAAAACAAAAACUCACCAAUAUUAGAGUUGGGAGCACAAAUAUCGAUAAUUAUCGAUCUUUGAAACAUCUCCACCUCUGAACAAAACACAAUUAGAGCCUAAAAUUCAAUUCUCUUCUCAACGUUAACUCUGUCUCUCUUUCUCCAAAAAAAAACUCCAAAAUUUGCUUGAAAAAAAAACAAACACCACACACACAUACCUCACACACGCACACACUGCCAUCGACCUUGUUAUCGAUAAACAGCAACGAGACGGGACUAUCAUCACCCAUACGCAGUGGUUACCUGAAGCGCAAGACCUACCUGAGCCACCACUAGAGCAACCAAGAUGCAACAGCUAUAUAGAUUGAUCCAUCAGAUAUAAAAUCAAAUCAAAUCCCUCAGACUUCCUCAGAAAUAGUAAACCCUUCGAAAUAGAAAACUAAAAGGACAACAACAUCGAUGACUCCAUAUGCCACAUCUGUGUAUAUACCACAAACAUAUAUAUCUAUAUAUAUAUAUAUAUUUAUAUACUAUGCGCGAUAUAUUGAAAGUUCAAUGGUGUAACAUAUAUAAAUAUAUAUCAAAAACCAAAAUUGCAAAUGAGAAAAAAACAAUUGUACAACAUUUAACCAAAGUCAAAUGUGUCACGCGGUACCUGGAAAGAAAGACUGUUUCCUCCUGUUGUUUGAUGGUUUUUCAAACCACUUAAAGCAUACAUAAAAUGAAAAAAAAAAAACAUUGAAAACUACAUGAAACAAAAGCCGAUCGUAAAGCUAUAUACUAAAUAAAAUUAUAAAUGAUAUAUACAAGGAUAUAUUGAAAAUAUAGAACCGUUUAACAUAUGCAAGCGAACAAAGUUCAACAAACCAACCAAGUGAGGUACAACAACUGAAGGACAAACUAAUGAAACAGAAGAUCUCCCGAUGAAUAAGGAAUACGAGUAUAUAAGGAUAACUAAGACAAGCGAAUGGAAAGCGAGGAAAGCGUUGCAAAAUCAAAAGGCAAAUUUAAUGCAUUUCUUGAGAAACAACCACUACAAAAACUCUUACGAAAAGUAUAAAUUAACGGCUUCCGUAAAACAAAAACCAAAAAAAAGAAACCUAAAACUAUAUAUAUCUAUAUGCGUGUAAAAUUGACAAAAACAAAAAAAAACUAAAUUCUUAAGAAGAAAGAAUGUUGAAACUAAAAUCUUCAUGAAAUUGAAUACAAUCUCUUACCUGGCCCCAGAAAUUUGAAAUCUCCAUAAUUGUGAUAGUCUUUCGCUACCAAAAGGUUAAUUUAACAUAAAACAAAAACUAAAACUAAAAGAAAAACAGCAAAUUAUACAUAUUUAUCUCUACUAAAAAUUGUUAUUCGGAUAGAAAAGAAUAUAUAAAAACUAUUGGAUAUUGUGUAAACGUAAACCCGAUUUUGUGAUACCAAAAAAAAAAAAAAAAGUGAACUAAAAACCAAAGUUGAGUUCGCGAGAUGAGAGAUCCUCGUGUUAGAAAUCUAUACAAAAUAACACACACACACAACUCAAGGCGACCUGAAGAUGUAACGGGCAUUAAAUCUGACCCAUAUAGUAAUACUACUAUACAUAUAUAUAUAUAUAUAUAUAUAUAUAUAUAGAUCUAUAUAUAUAUACCACUAUGUAUGCAUAACCCAGUUAUGUGCUGUCCACGCAAGUUAACUAAAAACUCUCACAGAACUUGUCAAAAAUCUCAGAAAUAUAUAAAAAAAAAACAGAUAAAACCAAAUUAAAGGCACACAAGAAGGGACCUUUGAAAAUGAGAUAAAAUUAUAUAUAUGUAAUCUGUUCGAUCUUUUUAGGUUUACCUAAAAGCCAAACGUUGGUUAACUAUCGAGUAGUUGAGUUAUGUGAGUAAGAUACUUCCUAAACUGACAAAACAAAUGCAAAUUGAAGAGUUUAAAACCGAUAGUUUUAAUGAGAGCAGAGUAAUUGUAUGUAAAGAUAAAUAUAUAUAUAUUAUAUACCUACACUAUAUACUAAAUAUACUGUAUAUUUAUCUAGCGCAACUACAUUAAGGUCUUUUUUGAAGCUUGCUAAACUGAAAAAGUGUUCCGAUCAUAGUAUUGUCCGGCUAUACGUUCCUCUAUCCUCACCAUUUGAGUCGAUUUUUAAGUCACUUUCAUUUUUUUGUAGCCAAGUAUUAAACUAAACCGAAAAACUAAAAACAAAAACUGAUGGAAGAUCUACUAGAUUUUAAGAUGAAUCUCUACCUAUGAAGAGUUUAUCCUAUAUAAGUACGUAGUUGGUUCAAGCAUGAGGUAAAAAAAAGAAAGUAUAAAGGCAAGUCCUAUUAACUAACACACCAGAUACUCAUAGAGUCGAAGGGUUUAUGUCUGUCUAUUUAGCUGGUAAAUUAAAGGAAUUUUCUAUAUAUCUUUCUGUUCGAAACCGAUUUGCUUUCCAAAAGUUAGAUUUAUUUACAUUAGUACAUUUUUUUAGAUGAGAGAAACAUUUUUGAAAGUUUUUAGAAUAUCUUUUAAUUGUCUUAUGAAACUAGAAUUAUUUUGUAUAGUAUUUAGUAAAAUUCUAAAGAAAUAUCUUUCUUUUCCCACAAAAAAUAACCAAAAAGUUAAAACAAAAAAGCCCAUAAAAACAUGAAUCAUUUUGUAUAUGUAAGAGGCAACUUUUUGCAACUUCGUACAAUGUUAUACUGUACUAGUAUUAGUUCUUUGUGUUUCUAAAAUUUCCCAUAGAUCGGUUGCUUUAUUCCCCAUUUAUCGUUGCUAUUUGUAGAGUACUACAUUGUAUAUCUAUAUUUUUCCUCCUCUCAAACUCCACCAAAAUAUGAACUCCCAAAGCCAAUAAAGCGUUGAGCAGAAUUGUAUUGAUAUUUUGAGAACCCACCAUAUAGAUAAUAAGCUAAAAUCCCCACAUACACACAAAAAAAGUGACGAUGACUAAUGCAGAGAUUAUAAUCAAAGAACAAAAAACUAAAAAACGAAAACAAUGGAAAAGAAAUACAAAAUUGUUACGUACAUAUAAGUAAAUAUAUGUCCGUAUGGUUAUGUAUUUUUAAAUAUUAAGUGCAAAAGUCCAGGAAUAACAAAUACGAAUUCAGAUUGUAAACAAAUAUAAAAAACAUAAACAAGGCGAACAAAAAUAUAAAAUUAUUUAUUGACAACAAAAUCUACAAGCCGAAGAACAAAAACACACAAAAAAAAAAAAAAAAAAAAAAAACGAGGAGCAAGCCAAAUGCAAUCUAUUUACAAAAUCCCAAAAGCAAGAAUGACAAACCAAAAAGUUAAAGAUAGCUGAUCCGAAGAAUAUAUAUAUAUAUAUGUAUACAUUGUAUAAUGUAUAACUAACCGAAAGAGAAAUAAAGAGAUUUUUAAGCCAAUA